rnacentral:lncRNA from 1 species
AAAAUAGGACAAAUCAUGCGAAGGAUAUAACGAGCAAUUUUGUAAAAUAAAUUUGUCAUAAUCUUUUACGGAUGCGAAGGAGAUGCGCUAACAAGGAAAACAGUGUUUGGGGAGAUAACUCCUACAAAGAAAAGUAUUCGUUUACGCAGGGUAAAUUUCAAAAGCGCAUAAACUGUUCGAUAUCAUAUACCAAAUAUCUAAGCGACAUAUUGCGAAACAAAUGUUUAUCGCAAGAACAAAAUUAGGCGGAAGAAAAAAAAAAAAAUAAUCAGAAGAAAAACAAUAGGUCUUUCCACAGAAAAGUGGAAAGACCUAAUAAUAAUAAUUAAAAACCAAUUCUUCAGAGAACAAUUGAAGGUCUUUCCACCUGAUAAUAAGAAUGAAAUUUAAAAAAACGAUGUUAGAAAAUGUCACUCCUUGUUGAUGUUAUUUGGUUUUCGAAAUUGAUAUAAAAAAUAAGAUUAAUAGGUAUAUGCAGAAGACUUAAUUGUUUUAGUAUGAACAGAAAAUAAUUUUUAGCAAAGGUCAAAAUCUAGAACGUCAAAUUGACCUUU